GAUGAACGCUGGCGGCGUGCCUAAUACAUGCAAGUCGAGCGAACAGAGGAGGAGCUUGCUCCGAUGACGUUAGCGGCGGACGGGUGAGUGACACGUGGCUAACCUACCUAUAAGACUGGGAUAACUUCGGGAAACCGGAGCUAAUACCGGAUAAUAUAUUGAACCGCAUGGUUCAAUAGUGAAAGACGGAUUUGCUGUACCUAAUAGAUGUAACCGGGUCGCAUUAGCUAGUUGGUAAGGUAACGGCUUACCAAGGCAACGAUGCGUAGCCGACCUGAGAGGGUGAUCGGCCACACUGGAACUGAGACACGGUCCAGACUCCUACGGGAGGCAGCAGUAGGGAAUCUUCCGCAAUGGGCGAAAGCCUGACGGAGCAACGCCGCGUGAGUGAUGAAGGUCUUCGGAUCGUAAAACUCUGUGAUUAGGGAGGAACAAAUGUGUAAUUAACUAUUCACGUCUUGACGGUACCUACUCAGAAAGCCACGGCUAACUACGUG
rnacentral:rRNA from 1 species